AGAAAUUACCUAGGUGAUGUUGGUUGUAAAAGUAUAAUUUAUCUAGAUAGGGUUGCCAGUGGCCUCUCCAUCUGUACCACCUGUCCUCCUCAGUGUGGUCCAGGCUGUCUCCAUCAGUCCCAGGACCAACCUUUCAAGAAAGCUCUAACCACACACUCCAUGUCAUUUUUUUUGUUUUUCUCCUCCUUUGCAUAAUUAAUUGCCUGAUAAGCUCCACGUUGCUGAACUAUAUCACAGCAGGCAGUAAAGCACACUGGUCAGUAGUUGGGAUGUUUACUGUGUAUUGCUAUAUGCUGCCAUCCAGGCACAGAGCUAAAUGACUGAUGCUCUCUCUCAUGGCUCUUUGUGAUGUCAUUUUCCAGGGUCUGAUGGGCUGGAGCAGUAGGCUUAUGGAUCUCCACCUGUACAAACAUCAUGUCCGUGUCUAUACCUUCAUAGCUCCAGGUCUGCAAACAAUUCCAGGCCAGAUAUCAGAGUGGCCCAGAGGUUUCUCACUCUCAUGAUCUGUUUCCAUUUCUUUUAUUGGGCAGAUUUUAUUUUCUCC
rnacentral:lncRNA from 1 species